rnacentral:rRNA from 1 species
ACGGGUGCUUAACACGUGGGCAACCUGCCAUGAAGUGGGGGAUAGCUCGCCGAAAGGCGAAUUAAUACCGCAUGUGAUUAGAGAGGACAUCCUUUCAAAAUUAAAGUCGGGGCAACCUGACGCUUCUUGUGGGGCCCGCGGCCUAUCAGCUAGUUGGUGAGGUAACGGCUCACCAAGGCUUUGACGGGUAGCUGGUCUGAGAGGACGACCAGCCACACUGGGACUGAGACACGGCCCAGACACCUACGGGUGGCAGCAGUCGAGAAUUUUUGACAAUGGGGGAAACCCUGAUCGAGCGACGCCGCGUGGAGGAUGAAGGUCUUCGGAUUGUAAACUCCUGUCAUUGGGGAACAAGGCGCAGAUAUUAACUGUAUUUGUGUUGAUAGUACCCGAAGAGGAAGAGACGGCUAACUCUGUGCCAGCAGCCGCGGUAAUACAGAGGUCUCAAGCGUUGUUCGGAUUCAUUGGGCGUAAAGGGUGCGUAGGCGGCGCGGUAAGUCGGGUGUGAAAUCUCGGAGCUUAACUCCGAAACUGCAUUCGAUACUGCCGUGCUUGAGGACUGGAGAGGAGACUGGA